UGGCUUAUCCAUUCGCCCCCACCAGGAUGCAUCUGCAUCCAUCUUUCCUAUUCUCUCGCUCCAUCUCUCAUCCUCUCUCAAAUCUCUCUGACCGGUGGACUCCGUGUGGGCGGAGCGAAGAGGGAGCCAAGCCAGCCGAGCCGACCCCUCUCCUCUUUCCCUUUCUCGCAGCGAUUCGCAAUUUGCCCCUUCUCGCUCCAUCUCUCUUUCUCAUCCCGUGCUUCCACCGAUAUGCGUAGCCAACGACAUUUAAGCGCUAUGAGACGGCUGCUCGGCGAAGUUCGUUCCCGGGUUGCCGGCGUGUUCAAUCGGGUGACUGCAUGCAGGCCCGGAUGUGAAGCCUCCAAAAUCGCUGGUGCCCCCGUUCCACCUGAGUGAGCGCAGCCGCCGGAUCCCGUCUUGUCAUGUCCUCUCUCUCUCUCUCUCAUUUCCUCGUCUCGUUCUAAUUCUAUGGAGUGCAUAUGCAUGCAGGCCGAUGUGAAGCCAAGUCGCUGGCACCCCGUUCUAGACCACCAGAUCCGGAGUGCCACCGACGGUUCCUGUCCCCAUCACGCCCGCGUCAACGACCGCCAAGUUGCUGGCACCUCGUUCCAGACCACCAGAUCUGGAGCGCCGCCGCCGGAUCUCGUCCCCAUCACGCCUGCGUCAACGACCGCCGCGGAACCCUCCUCGGCUCCUCCUCCUCAACGAUUCACGGCAAGAACUGGGACAGCACCGUGCCCUUCCCCGUCUCCAACACUACAGUGCUCGCGCCGUCGGUGCUGUCGUAUUUAUUAUCAUUCGAAUAUGUGUGGAUUUGACCCCUUCGAUUGCCUUCCCAUCAUGUUUUGUUCAUUCUUUUCUGAAUCUGAUUCUCAUGCCUGGUGCGAAUUUUCUAUAAAUCGUGGUGAGGAUUUGUUCCUUCUUUCCCGGUUAUAAUUCAUUGAAUCAG
rnacentral:lncRNA from 1 species